ensembl:lncRNA
UGGGGGUCAGGAAUGCUCGUCGAGAUGCUGUUAGCAAGAAUUGGUUCAGGAUCUCAAGCGAAAAGGAAGUUUGGCCCAGGGAGAGACAGCCCUGCCCCUCCACGGCCACCCUGUAGGCUGUGCCUCGCCGGCACUUCCUCCUCUUUCCCAGGAAACACUUCUGACUUACCAUUCCCCUGCGCUCCGACGACGUUGCCUCUCGGAGGCUCCGUGGAGAAGGCAAGCUUGACUUCUAUGCUCAGAAGAUGCUCUCUUGGAUGUCAGACAGAUGUUCCGUGGCUGGCGGAGGCCAUGCACUUCAGGUCACUUCCUGACAGCCUGCACAGUCCCCCCCUUCCCUCCCCCCACCACCAUGCAGUGCCAGGACUGGGGGUGUCCCUGAACACCUUUGAGCCUCAUUGCAGAGAUGGGGAGACUGAGGCACGGAGAGGUUCUAACUUCCCAGGCUGCUUCUGUUUCCCCUGGGCCAAGCAUCCAGCCUGGAAAGUCCUCUGGGUGAAAAACAGGCAUCCUCUCCACCUCCCUGCAUGGGAAAGGAGCCUUCCAUUACUGGCGCUGGCACAAUGCUCGGCACCCGGAAAGCACCCACUAAACAUUUGCUUCAUUAAUGAAAAAAUGCAUGGGGUGAGUUGAUUCCCCAGCUCCCUGUGUCCUCAGUGGGGGCUCUCACAGCCAGCCACUCCUUUCGUCAGACACCUGGGCUUCAGCGACAAAAGGCCAUCGCAGGAUGCUCCUUUGUUCUAAGAGCCUUAUUUCCCAGGUGAGCGCCACACCCCUCACAGCAAAAUAGACAGGGGGUCUGCACCCUCUCCCAGCACGGUUCCUGGCCCACAGGAGAGGCUCAGCAAGUGUGUGUUCUCUCUCUUCUAAUGAGAGAGAAGCUCAUUUUCCUCCUGGAAGAAGGGCUACCUGGAAGUGAAGGCACAUUUUUACACACUGCCGCACUGGGGUGCCCUGAGAGCAACACGUGCUGGAAGGACGCACCCAAAGGCCAGCUGGGUACUGAGGCUGAGCUCCGAGCUUCCGGUCCGGCCCCAGGUUCUGAACGCAGACCUAUCCACAGGGGGGGAGGGGCAGCCCAUUGCCGGACCUUUAUGCAGUGUCAUCUGACUGCUGGUACGUAGUUGAUGCCCGAGAGAAGCCAUUACAAGAGAUGAGCCGGACGUGGACGAGGCUGGUGAGUGUGACCGUGACCCAGACAGGGGCUCAGCCUGGGGAGGACAAGCGAGGAACCCAGGCUUGUUGGGGGCAGUGGUGAGCAUGAGUUGCUGGCUAGCUGGGUCUCAGAAUUGGGCACGAGCGCCAGGGACAAAGAGCAGGGGACCCCAGCCCCCGAGCUCUGCUCCUGAGAGAAUGCAGAGGCUGGUGAGCCUCGUCUGCAGGGGGCAAAAUUCUGUGCUCUCAGCCCUGAAACUGGGAAAUGAGCACAGGCCAGGGCAGACGAUAUGCCAAAGACUCCUACCUCCCAUGCUGUUCUAAUUAUUAAAAAUCCGAUCAGAAGAGUCAUCCCCUCUCCUCCCCCAACCGAGCCCAGUCUGGCUUACUAGGGCUGUUUCAGCCCCCCAGGAGACCUGGGUUCUGGGCCUCCCCCGAGGGCUCUCCCAAGGCCUGACACAGAACACUGAGCCCGGCCCUGGCUAUCUGAUGAUUUGAGGGGGUCUGGUGGGCUUGGUGGGGGACACGUGAAGGAUCACAGAUGAGCUCCCUUCCCUGCCCCUUGCCUAUGUUUCCAGCUUCUUGCGCAAACCCUGACCGGUCCUGUCCCCACCCAGCAGGCUGAGUGGCAAGGACAAGGGUUUAUGGAGAACACGAUCUCCUGGUUUUCUUCCUUAUUCUGAGCAAAAACCGAGUGAGCUUAGAUGCCAGGGGCAGGCAUGCUCCCGACCCUGGCAGGUACCCUGGGCAUCCAUCUCGCCCUCCUACGGGCCCAGGGGCCACAGCCCCACGUGUCCGGCAGGGGGGCUCGCCCCCGCCAGACCCCGCCAGGACGGCGUGCGGGCAGACUGUUAUGAGCUAACAUAAGUCGAGACUAACCUUUCAGCAGAACAGUUUGAGUUAAAAUAAAGGGAAUGAAAAAGAGUACA